rnacentral:rRNA from 1 species
CCUACGGGGGGCUGCAGUAGGGAAUCUUCCGCAAUGGACGAAAGUCUGACGGAGCAACGCCGCGUGAGUGAUGAAGGUUUUCGGAUCGUAAAGCUCUGUUGUUAGGGAAGAACAAGUACCGUUCGAAUAGGGCGGUACCUUGACGGUACCUAACCAGAAAGCCACGGCUAACUACGUGCCAGCAGCCGCGGUAAUACGUAGGUGGCAAGCGUUGUCCGGAAUUAUUGGGCGUAAAGGGCUCGCAGGCGGUUUCUUAAGUCUGAUGUGAAAGCCCCCGGCUCAACCGGGGAGGGUCAUUGGAAACUGGGGAACUUGAGUGCAGAAGAGGAGAGUGGAAUUCCACGUGUAGCGGUGAAAUGCGUAGAGAUGUGGAGGAACACCAGUGGCGAAGGCGACUCUCUGGUCUGUAACUGACGCUGAGGAGCGAAAGCGUGGGGAGCGAACAGGAUUAGAUACCCAAGUAGUC